ACGCCCCUCGGUUGCCCGAAGUGCGCGUGGGUCGUCGUGUCGUUUCGAUACAUUAGAACGACUCUCGGCAACGGAUAUCUCGGCUCUCGCAUCGAUGAAGAACGUAGCGAAAUGCGAUACUUGGUGUGAAUUGCAGAAUCCCGUGAACCAUCGAGUCUUUGAACGCAAGUUGCGCCCGAAGCCUUCGGGCCAAGGGCACGUCUGCCUGGGCGUCACGCACCGCGUCGCCCCCCACCCAAACCAUUGGGAUGGGGGGCGGACUGUGGCCCCCCGUGCGCUCCUCGCUCGCGGUCGGCCUAAACACAGACCCCGUGGCCGCGAAACGCCGCGACGUUUGGUGGUUUACUCGUGGCCCUGUGCCUCGAGCAUCGCGUCGUGGCCUUGGCGGCCCAUGGGAGCUCAAAGGACCCUGAGGAGGACCGUGUCACCCUCGAGUGGCGCCGGAACCUCCUAACCGUUGCGACCCCAGGUCAGGCGGGACU
rnacentral:rRNA from 1 species